CCGACGAUGGUGGCCAAUGUGACCAAAGAGACUUUGAAUGGCUGUUAGUGACCUAGUACUACAAAUCUAAGUAGAUGUGGCACCAGUUUGAAAAAGUUUUCACCUUUAUACAUUCAUUACAGAAUUUUUUAAAAUCAACAUUUUCUGCGUGAUCGUACUCUUCACUCUGUAACUCCGGAACCGGAAGUCAGAUCCAUUAUAAAUUCAAUAGCAGCCUACAGGAUACACGUUUCAUUUGAGACUAAGUUUAUGAAAAUCGGUUCAGCCAUCUCUGAGAAAAGUGAGUGAGAUUGUGGUCACAUACACACAGAGAAUUGACGGACUGAAUCGAAUGGUAUAUGUCACUCGAGCCUCCGGGUCUCCGUUGAAAAGACGGUUUUCAGAGCAGUUUUUCUAUUGAGAAAGGCAAAACGUAAAUCGUACGAACAAGUUAUAGCAAAUAGUGAUACAUUUAACACUUUUAUAAUGAGUGGCUCAUGUCCCUUCAGAUUUGACCGCACUUACCGCUUGAUGACGUCCCAGUUUGAUAUUUCUUUUGAGUGGUUUGAGAAAACUGAGAAAACGAAAAUCGUCAACGCAGGCCUGGAUACGGUUAAAGAAAUAUAAACAAAUUUUGGUAGCCUCGCAUCGUUUUCCGGAGCAGUUGGAUAUGUAAGGAUAUUUAUUAUUUUAAAUCUAGUCCUGUAAUUUAAUUCUAUUAAUCGAAUCGUAUAUUUAAAGCAUUGUCAUCAAUACCCCCAGGGUUGCAAAAUUGAUUCGGUUCUGUGACUCCGAAUCUAAAGAAUAUGGCGUGCGACAUCGAAGAAUUUAUUCCGUGCAUUUUAGGUCGUCUUGUUUCAAACACCUAUUAAAUCUAUCUAAAGGGAAAAUGUUGCAAAAUUACACAAACUAAAAAUUAAAAAUUGACGCGUUUCGUUUUGCAGAUGAUGAUCGAGUUGCACUUUUUGUUGCCAACGAACGGAAAACAAAUAAAUAAUUGAAGAAAUUUUUCUCCUCAAAAUAUUUGAUUAUUUCUGCUGCCUCUGCACUCCUUGCUGUCGUUCGAUUCCGUUCACGUGGCUUCGACGUGCUGCCUCGAGGAUCGGCAACUCGUUGGUAGCGAGCCGCGUGGCUUGUUUCGAUAUUCCACCUGUUGCUAUGGGCCUUGGUUGCCUCUAGAUGACCUCGCAUCUGCGUGGUGACUUCAGGAAACUAUUCAGUCAUGUCAAACUGAGGCUUCCAAUAGUCAACACCGGUGAAACAACGUCAUCUCGGUUAUUGACUUCAGAUACAUCGAGCAAUACGGAACAUUUGAACAAGACUGUAGCUUACCCGAGCUCCGAGCCACUACAAUUCCAUUUGACUUCAGUCAUACCGGCUGGAAUAUAAUAUAGAAUUCUGGCUGUCUAAGAGACAAGUAUUUUAAUUGUGCAUUCAUUUUUAUUUGUUUUUUGUUGAUGAUUAAUUCAUUUCAAAUAUAUUUGUAGUUGGAACUGUGGCCACAUUUGCAAUUAUGGUGCCACUGACAUAUGAGCAAGCGUAUGGGGGAUAGACCACUAGUGAAUAAUUGUUCUUAAACCUGAGGGGUAACCACCCAUAUUGAUGGUGGUUUUAAGUGUUUUGUUACCAGCCACCAUCUUGGAUUU